CCGUCCGGAUCAGCGCGCCCUCAUAGGCUGGGGAUUUCGGUGUAAAGCCACGUUAAUGAUACACAGGCUAAUUGCGAAGGACCUCGCUCGCAGCGAGCCAACCUGUUUCCUGUCGCUGCCAGGAACCCUUUCAUAGCGUAUGGGGCGCUGCCAGUAGGUGCCUGGGUUGGCCCAUGUAGAGGAAGGGAUCCCCAACUGCGUGUGAAUGGCCACCUCCUUUGAGUUUGGGAGUUGAGGGACAUAAACUUGACUGUGUCGCCAGCUCAGGCGCCCGGGGGCGAGUCCUCGACGGUGACAUCACGUAGGCAGACUCGCCCGGGCAGGCAAUCCAACCAAAACCCGCAAAGCAAUCGCCUUGGGCAAAGCUGGACCCUGAAUUUCCUCCGAGAAGCGACUCUGGCUUCGGAAACUUCGCCGGGACGGAACUGGAAAGCCCCCGAGGAGCAGAGACAGUGGCUUUGGCAAGUGGACUUGACGCAAGUUGACCAUCUCCCUCGAGCCGCCCUUCGCUUGGUGGCGGACUUUGUUCGGGGCUCACAAGUCACUUCUGCGGGAGGCACCUCUCGGCUACAACGGAGAGACCUGUAAAUAAAAGACUUUCCUCUUCCCAUUUUGCCGGAGAGACUCUUGUGGGUCGUUAACUGUUUUCCUCUCCACCCCCACCCCCCACAAUGCAUAAUUGAAUGUACGAUUAAUUUUACCUCCUGCUUUUUAAAAAUACCUCUGAUGAGCACAAAAUUAGAUAAAAGGGAGGUAGAA